rnacentral:lncRNA from 1 species
AAUUAUACAGAUAUGCUACAAAUAGACUACUGAGUUAUUAAGCUAUGAAAUGGCUAUCCAGGAGCUUGGUAAACUUGUCUGGGUUCUUCUGUUAAAUAUAUUAUGCUUCUAUCAUUAGAAUAUGGUUAUGCAGAUGACAGAUAAUAACUAUCUUAAAUUUUCCAUACAGUGAAAAACUUUAAUUGCAAAUAUUACUUGUUACUUCAUUUAAAAUUUUUCCUUGGUUAAGAGUUACUGAAUAAUUAAAAGGUCAGCAAUUUAAAUUAAAUCAAGUGUGAUAAAAUAUCUACCUAUAGUAGAUUUUUAAAAAGUAAAAUUGUAUUAUUUAGCCAUUUGGGAACAUCUUAGUCAUCUAACAAGUAUGCCCCAGCAAAUAAAGAACAGGACAUGAAAGGAUUAUGUUAAUAUAAGCGCAUUUUGCCCUAAAGAAAACAGUCUUGUAUUUAAGAUUCUUGCAGCAAAAUCUCAGGUACUUAAUUACA